rnacentral:misc_RNA from 1 species
UUCUUAUCCUCGAAAUGGGUGCAGACAGAACACCAGGGAAGUUGAAGUGAAGGGAAGCUAAAGAACUCGGCAAUGGUGACGGAAUUGGGGGACGAGUUCAUGGCCGCCGAGCCCGACUCAGGCCGAGCUGCUGGAUCUUCCAGAGCUCCGAGGCUUUUCAUUAAAGAAAUGGUUAUGAGGAAUUUCAAAUCUUACGCUGGCGAACAACGCGUUGGUCCUUUCCACAAGAGUUUUUCUGCAGUGGUGGGGCCUAACGGGAGUGGCAAGAGCAAUGUAAUAGACGCUAUGUUAUUUGUCUUUGGAAAGCGAGCGAAGCAGAUGAGACUUAACAAGGUUUCCGAGCUUAUCCACAAUUCCACUAAUUACCAGAAUCUAGACAGUGCAGGUGUUUCUGUUCAUUUUCAGGAGAUAAUUGACCUGGAUGAUGGCAACUAUGAUGCUGUUCCAGGAAGUGAUUUUGUAAUCACCAGGGUGGCAUUUCGAGAUAACUCAUCUAAGUAUUACAUAAAUGAUCGUGUGAGUAAUUUCACCGAGGUCACCAAAAAACUGAAAGGGAAGGGGAUUGACCUGGACAAUAACCGAUUUCUGAUUCUUCAGGGUGAAGUUGAGCAGAUUUCAUUGAUGAAGCCCAAAGCUCAAGGACCCCAUGAUGAAGGUUUUCUUGAAUAUCUGGAAGACAUAAUUGGGACUGACAAAUAUGUUGAAAAGAUUGAAGAAUCGUAUAAGGAGUUGGAAUCCCUUAAUGAGAAAAGGUCUGGGGUGGUGCAGAUGGUUAAGUUAGCUGAGAAAGAAAGAGACAGCUUGGAGGAUGUGAAGAAUGAAGCGGAGGCAUAUAUGCUAAAAGAGUUAUCACUCCUGAAAUGGCAAGAGAAAGCCACGAAAUUAGCUUAUGAGGAUAAUGGUGCAAAGAUGAUUGAAAUGCAGACAAAUGUUUCUAGCUUAGAAGAAAGUUUAAAGGCUGAAAGAGAGAAGAUUCAAGAAAGUCAUAAAACACUGAAGGAGAUUGAGACUAUCCACAAGAAGUAUAUCAAAAGACAAGAGGAACUUGGCAAUGAUCUCAUAACAUGUAAAGAGGAGUUUAAGGAGUUUGAAAGGCAGGAUGUUAAAUAUCGAGAGGAUUUGAAGCACAAGAAGCAAAAGAUCAAGAAACUUGAAGAUAAACUCAAUAAGGACUCAUCAAAGAUUGAGCACUUAACAAAGGAGUGUGAGGACUCGACAAAUUUGAUUCCACAACUUGAGGAUGACAUUCCAAAGCUGCAAAGAAUUUUGUUGGAUGAGGAGAGAGUGUUGGAGGAUAUUGUAGAGAAUUCAAAAGUUGAAACAGAAGGAUAUCGCUCUGAGCUUGUGAAGGUUCGCGCUGAAUUAGAGCCGUGGGAAAAACAACUAAUCGAUCACAAGGGCAAACUUGAAGUUGCAUGUACUGAAAGCAAGCUUUUGAGUGAGAAGCAUGAGGCUAGUCGUGCAGCUUUUGAAGAUGCACACAAGCAGAUGGAUGACAUAUUGAGAAGAAUAGAAACAAAAACUACAAGCAUUUCCAAACUUCAGAGUGAUGUAGAAAAGCACAAAUUUGAAGCAUCAGAAGCUCGUAAAGUGGAACAAGAGUGCAUCAAAGAACAAGAAGCAUUGAUUCCACUAGAACAAGCUGCAAGACAAAAGGUUGCAGAACUUAAAUCAAUUCUUGAUUCUGAGAAAAGUCAGGGUUCAGUUAUGAAAGCAAUUUUGCAGGCCAAGGAAUCUAAUAAAAUUGAGGGAAUAUACGGUCGGAUGGGAGAUUUAGGAGCAAUUGAUGCAAAAUAUGAUGUUGCCAUAUCAACAGCUUGUCCUGGACUUGAUUAUAUUGUGGUGGAGACGACUGCUGCAGCCCAAGCAUGUGUUGAGCUGCUCCGAAGGGAGAAUCUUGGGGUUGCAACCUUCAUGAUAUUGGAGAAGCAAGUUGAUCUCUUACCAAAGAUGAAGGCUAAAGUGCGCACUCCAGAGGGAGUUUCACGUCUUUUUGAUCUAGUUAGAGUUGAGAAUGAAAGAAUGAAGCUUGCAUUUUUUGCAGCUUUGGGUAACACUGUUGUAGCAAAUGAUCUAGAUCAGGCAACACGAAUUGCAUAUGGUGGCACUUUAGAGUUUCGCCGUGUGGUUACUCUUGAUGGUGCACUUUUUGAAAAAUCUGGUACUAUGAGUGGUGGGGGAAGCAAGCCACGUGGUGGUAAAAUGGGCACGUCUAUUCGAGCUACCAGUGUUUCUACAGAAGCUGUUGCCAAUGCUGAGAAGGAGCUCUCUACUAUGGUUGAUAAAUUGAAUGGCAUCCGCCAGAGGAUAGUUGAUGCAGUAAGGAGUUACCAAGCCUCAGAAAAAGCAAUUGCACACCUGGAGAUGGAAUUGGCCAAAAGUCAGAAGGAGAUUGGCAGUUUAAAUUCAGAGCAUGGAUAUCUUGAAAAACAACUUGGUUCACUAGAGGCUGCAUCACAGCCAAGGAAGGAUGAGCUUGACAGGCUGGAUGAGCUGAAGAAAACCAUAUCUACAGAGGAAAAGGAGAUUGAUAGACUUAUGAAAGGGUCUAAAAAGCUGAAGGAUAAGGCAUUGGAACUUCAGAGUAAAAUAGAAAAUGCUGGUGGUGAAACAUUGAAAGCACAGAAGUCAAAGGUCAACAAGAUUCAGUCUGAUAUUGAUAAAACUAGCUCAGAGAUUAACCGUCACAAGGUUCAAAUAGAGACAAAUCAGAAAAUGAUGAAGAAGUUAACAAAGGGGCUUGAGGACUCGAAGAAGGAAAAGGAUCGACUUGUUGAGGAGAAGGAAAAAAUGAGAAGUGUUUUCAAAGAAAUAGAAGAAAAGGCGUUUGCAGUUCAGGAGAAUUAUAACAAGACACAAAAGCUGAUGGAUGAACACAAGGAAGUGUUGGAUAAAGCAAAAUCUGAAUAUGAAAAUGUGAAAAAAUUUGUGGAUGAGCUGCGGGCAUCAGAGGUUGAUGCUGAUUACAAAUUACAAGAUAUGAAGAAGAGCUACAAGGAGUUGGAAUUGAAGGGGAAGGGUUACAAGAAAAAGCUUGAUGACUUGCAAAAUGCUCUCACACACCACAUGGAGCAAAUUCAGAAAGAUCUGGUGGACCCUGGAAAGCUUCAAGCAACCUUGGAAGAUGAGACUCUUGCCAAGGCUUGUGAUCUGAAAAGGGCCCUUGAAAUGGUAGCAUUGCUGGAAGCACAAAUGAAAGAGAUGAACCCAAAUCUAGAUUCUAUCUCAGAAUAUCGGAGAAAGGUUUCAUUGUAUAAUGGGAGAGUUGAUGAACUGAACAUGGUCACUGAACAGCGUAAUGAUGUAAAAAAGCAGCAUGAUGAAUGGCGAAAGAAAAGGUUGGAUGAGUUCAUGGCAGGAUUCAAUACAAUAUCAUUGAAGUUAAAGGAAAUGUAUCAGAUGAUUACACUUGGAGGCGAUGCAGAACUUGAGCUAGUGGAUUCUUUGGAUCCUUUCUCUGAGGGUGUUGUUUUUAGUGUUAGACCGCCAAAGAAGAGUUGGAAAAACAUAGCUAACUUAUCGGGUGGUGAAAAGACUCUCAGCUCAUUGGCUCUUGUUUUUGCACUUCAUCACUACAAGCCUACGCCACUGUAUGUAAUGGAUGAAAUUGAUGCUGCUCUGGAUUUCAAGAAUGUUUCAAUUGUGGGACAUUAUGUUAAGGACCGGACAAAGAAUGCACAAUUUAUUAUCAUAAGCCUUAGGAACAACAUGUUUGAGUUGGCAGAUCGACUUGUUGGAAUCUAUAAAACUGACAACUGCACAAAAAGCAUUACAAUCAACCCAGGCAGUUUUGUGGUGUGUGAAAAAGUCGCUUGAUGUGCGUGUGGAUUUUGGCCAUGUCAAUUGAAAAGUGGUACGAAACAGUAUCAUAUCUGUUGAUUUGCACCUAUAUAUUAGCUUGCAAAUAUCAACUCGAUAUUUAUUUGUAGCAUUCUGAUAAAGUCAAAUCAUACUGUAUCAUUUUGAAAUAUUUAAUGUCCAGUGGUAUGCAGCAAAUUCUAGUGCAUGUUAAUUGGAUAUGAAAUGGCUUUUCCCGGAGCCAUAUAAAAUCUACAUUUUGAUAGUGUUUGUAUAUUGUGGAUUGUGCUAAACAAUUAAUAUAAAUAUCGCAAUCAAGCAUGACUG